AGAGUUUGAUCCUGGCUCAGAGUGAACGCUGGCGGCAGGCCUAAUACAUGCAAGUCGAACGGCAGCACAGCAGAGCUUGCUCUGUGGGUGGCGAGUGGCGGACGGGUGAGGAAUACGUGGGAAUCUGCCCAGUCGUGGGGGAUAACGUAGGGAAACUUACGCUAAUACCGCAUGCGCCCUUCGGGGGAAAGCCGGGGACCUUCGGGCCUGGCGCGAUUGGAUGAGCCCACGUCGGAUUAGCUAGUUGGCGGGGUAAAGGCCCACCAAGGCGACGAUCCGUAGCUGGUCUGAGAGGAUGAUCAGCCACACUGGAACUGAGACACGGUCCAGACUCCUACGGGAGGCAGCAGUAGGGAAUAUUGGGCAAUGGGCGCAAGCCUGAUCCAGCCAUGCCGCGUGAGUGAAGAAGGCCCUCGGGUUGUAAAGCUCUUUUGUCCGGAAAGAAAAGCGCCGGGUUAAUACCCUGGUGUCCUGACGGUACCGGAAGAAUAAGCACCGGCUAACUUCGUG
rnacentral:rRNA from 1 species